GACGCUUUGGCCGAGUGGUUAAGGUGUGUGCCUGCUAAGUACAUGGGCUUCCCCGCGAGAGUUCGAAUCUCUCAGGCGUCG
rnacentral:tRNA from 1 species